CCAUGCAGUCGAACGAUGAACCACUUCGGUGGGGAUUAGUGGCGAACGGGUGAGUAACACGUGGGCAAUCUGCCCUGCACUCUGGGACAAGCCCUGGAAACGGGGUCUAAUACCGGAUAACACUUCGGGCCUCAUGGUCUGUGGUUAAAAGCUCCGGCGGUGCAGGAUGAGCCCGCGGCCUAUCAGCUUGUUGGUGAGGUAAUGGCUCACCAAGGCGACGACGGGUAGCCGGCCUGAGAGGGCGACCGGCCACACUGGGACUGAGACACGGCCCAGACUCCUACGGGAGGCAGCAGUGGGGAAUAUUGCACAAUGGGCGAAAGCCUGAUGCAGCGACGCCGCGUGAGGGAUGACGGCCUUCGGGUUGUAAACCUCUUUCAGCAGGGAAGAAGCGAAAGUGACGGUACCUGCAGAAGAAGCGCCGGCUAACUACGUGCCAGCAGCCGCGGUAAUACGUAGGGCGCAAGCGUUGUCCGGAAUUAUUGGGCGUAAAGAGCUCGUAGGCGGCUUGUCACGUCGGGUGUGAAAGCCCGGGGCUUAACCCCGGGUCUGCAUUCGAUACGGGCUAGCUAGAGUGUGGUAGGGGAGAUCGGAAUUCCUGGUGUAGCGGUGAAAUGCGCAGAUAUCAGGAGGAACACCGGUGGCGAAGGCGGAUCUCUGGGCCAUUACUGACGCUGAGGAGCGAAAGCGUGGGGAGCGAACAGGAUUAGAUACCCUGGUAGUCCACGCCGUAAACGGUGGGAACUAGGUGUUGGCGACAUUCCACGUCGUCGGUGCCGCANCUAACGCAUUAAGUUCCCCGCCUGGGGAGUACGGCCGCAAGGCUAAAACUCAAGGGAAUUGACGGGGGCCCGCA
rnacentral:rRNA from 1 species